UAGGGAAUCUUCCGCAAUGGACGCAAGUCUGACGGAGCAACGCCGCGUGAGUGAAGAAGGAUUUCGGUUCGUAAAACUCUGUUGUUAGAGAAGAACAGCGCAUAGAGUAACUGUUAUGCGUGUGACGGUAUCUAACCAGAAAGCCACGGCUAACUACGUGCGAGCAGCCGCGGUAAUACGUAGGUGGCAAGCGUUGUCCGGAUUUAUUGGGCGUAAAGCGAGCGCAGGCGGUCAAUUAAGUCUGAUGUGAAAGCCCCCGGCUCAACCGGGGAGGGUCAUUGGAAACUGGUUGACUUGAGUGCAGAAGAGGAGAGUGGAAUUCCAUGUGUAGCGGUGAAAUGCGUAGAUAUAUGGAGGAACACCAGUGGCGAAGGCGACUCUCUGGUCUGUAACUGACGCUGAGGUUCGAAAGCGUGGGUAGCAAACAGG
rnacentral:rRNA from 1 species